GAAAUAAAUUAAUAAAGCUUCUAACUUUAAUUUAGAUAUUAGGAUAUCAUUAUUUCU
rnacentral:tRNA from 2 species